rnacentral:rRNA from 1 species
AAACCGUCUUUCUAUACCCUUGGGCAAUGAGUUUCGACGUAUUGGGUGUAUCCGUUUUUAUCGAAGCUUUGAUUUUCGUGCUUAUCUUAGUUGUUGGUUUAGUUUAUGCAUGGCGAAAAGGAGCCUUGGAAUGGUCUUAACUGAAUAUUUAGACAAAAAAAAAAGAAGGAAAAGAUUCUAUUGAGACAGUUAUGAAUUUGAUUGAGUUUCCCUUACUUGACCAAACAAGUUCCAAUUCUGUUAUUUCAACUACACCAAAUGAUCUUUCGAAUUGGUCAAGACUCUCUAGUUUAUGGCCCCUUCUAUACGGUACCAGUUGUUGUUUCAUUGAAUUUGCUUCAUUAAUAGGCUCACGAUUCGACUUUGAUCGUUAUGGAUUGGUACCAAGAU